rnacentral:rRNA from 1 species
GACGAACGCUGGCGGCGUGCUUAACACAUGCAAGUCGAACGGAAAGGCCCUGCUUGCAGGGUACUCGAGUGGCGAACGGGUGAGUAACACGUGGGUGAUCUGCCCUGCACUUCGGGAUAAGCUUGGGAAACUGGGUCUAAUACCGGAUAGGAACCAUCUUUAGUGUGGUGGUUGGAAAGUUUUUUCGGUGUAGGAUGAGCUCGCGGCCUAUCAGCUUGUUGGUGGGGUAAUGGCCUACCAAGGCGGCGACGGGUAGCCGGCCUGAGAGGGUGUAGGGCCACAUUGGGACUGAGAUACGGCCCAGACUCCUACGGGAGGCAGCAGUGGGGAAUAUUGCACAAUGGGCGCAAGCCUGAUGCAGCGACGCCGCGUGGGGGAUGAAGGCCUUCGGGUUGUAAACUCCUUUCGCUAGGGACGAAGCUUUGUUGUGACGGUACCUAGAUAAGAAGCACCGGCUAACUACGUG